UACGUAGGUGACAAGCGUUGUCCGGAUUUACUGGGCGUAAAGAGCGCGCAGGCGGUCGUUCAAGUCGAGUGUGAAAGCCCCCGGCUCAACUGGGGAGGGUCAUUCGAUACUGAUCGACUCGAAGGCAGGAGAGGGUAGUGGAAUUCCCGGUGUAGUGGUGAAAUGCGUAGAUAUCGGGAGGAACACCAGUGGUGAAGGCGACUACCUGGCCUGUUCUUGACGCUGAGGCGCGAAAGCUAGGGGAGCAAACGGG
rnacentral:rRNA from 1 species